rnacentral:rRNA from 1 species
GGAGUCUAGCGUGUGCGCAAGUCAUUGAGACUUGCGAAACUUAAAAGGCAAAAUGAAAGUGAAAGCGCGCCUAGCGCGCGUCGAGGGAGGAUGGACCGGGACAAGGACCGGCCUCGCACUCCCGGGGCGUUUCGUUCUCACCGCGAGAUGAGGCGCACCCAGAGCGUACACGCUGGGACCCGAAAGAUGGUGAACUAUGCCUGGUCAGGACGAAGUCAGGGGAAACCCUGAUGGAGGUCCGUAGCGAUUCUGACGUGCAAAUCGAUCGUCGGAACUGGGUAUAGGGGCGAAAGACUAAUCGAACCGUCUAGUAGCUGGUUCCCUCCGAAGUUUCCCUCAGGAUAGCUGGCGCUCGCUUUACGAGUCUCAUCCGGUAAAGCGAAUGAUUAGAGGCAUUGGGGUCGAAACGGCCUCAACCUAUUCUCAAACUUUAAAUGGGUGAGAUCUCCGGCUUGCUUAAAUCGUGAAGCCGCGAGUAAUUUAGUACGGAUCAGAGUGCCAAGUGGGCCAUUUUUGGUAAGCAGAACUGGCGCUGUGGGAUGAACCAAACGCAGAGUUAAAGCGCCCAAAUUGACGCUUAUGGGAUACCAUGAAAGGCGUUGGUAACUUAAGACAGCAGGACGGUGGCCAUGGAA